GGCUCCGUGGUCAAGUGGUCAAGACGUCGCCCUCUCAAGGCGAAAACGGGAGUUCGACUCUCCUCGGAGUCACCA
rnacentral:tRNA from 1 species